rnacentral:lncRNA from 1 species
GACAUUUAGGUUGCUUCCAUGUCUUGGCUGUUGUAAAUAGUUCUGCAUUGAACUUUGGGGUGCAUGUAUCUUUUCAAAUUAUGGUUUUCUACAGAUACAUGCCCAGGAAUAGGAUUGUCGGAUCAUAUGAUGGGAUCACCUUUCUCCAGCUACCAAGGGAUUUCCUUUGCUUUGUGUGUUGCAUCCUCUAUUUUCUGAGUCUCAUGUCUUCAUCUUUUUGUUUACUCCUUCACUUUAGCUGAGUGCAUCUCUGUAAGUCAUCUCUGCAUUGCCUCUUACUUUUUCAAUAUGGGGUCCAUCCUCUCAACUGUGCUGAGUCCCCCAUUCUGAAGACACUGUUUUGCCUUCUAGAUAAUAAAUGUGUAGUCUGCUAGGGUGAGGAGAGGACAUUCUCUUGGCUGCAUGGAGGAAGGGCAAAGAUCUAAUUUUCUUAAAGAAUCUUUCAACAAGCCUUCCUGUUUGUAACCCACUUUCACCCUCAUUUCCAGAGGGAACUACUCUGGCCCAUUCCUGAGCCUUUUGAAUUUUCGUAGUGUAAGUCUCCUUGCUUCUCUAGUGCUAGAUUCAGAUUCCCCAGAUUCAGUUUUCUCAGGUCUGCUCAGUCACUUUUUACUUAUCCACCUGCUUUCCAAAUUUCAGAAUUUGUUGCGGCUGUAGUUUCAGUUCUUUUUUAUCCUCCAGGGUUUGUGCUUUUUUUUUCCUUUUUCCUGUUACUGUCAUUUAGUGAGGUAUGAGAAUGAGCAGAGGCUGGGCACCCCCAUUCUGCCAUCUCUGACCGCAGGUUCUCUCAACUGUCCUUUAUCUCACCUUUUCUUUUUGUGCUGGUCUUUUGUCUCCUUGGCACCUCCAACUUCUUUUACCCUCAUCUUGUUCCUUAACCCUUGUUUUUUUUCCAGCUUAUUGGACCUUUUACCUUUUGUUGUUUCCUUUUAUCCAACAUUUCUUUGCAGCCUCUAUUUCUAGGUGUCUCACUAAGCUGAGUAAUCCUUCUCUCCCUUUGCUUCUUGUCAGGUUCCAUGCUCCCUGGUAUACAAAACAUACCAAUCAAAGGCUGCUUCUAGCUAUGUUAUAUUAGCUGCUCAAGAAACGAUUCUGAAUAGUAGCAAAGACCACACACAAAUCUAGAAAUUAAAUCUUUGUUGAUUUAGCAUAUGUUCUGACUUUGUUUCUCUCUCAUUCUUGCUACCUUUGAUCCUCUAUCACGUCUCUUUGACUACUCAUCUUUAUACUAAUUCCUCAUCCAUUGAUAUGUCUUCCUCCUUGCAGAUUUUGCCACUAGGAAGACAGGUGUUUGUUACGUAGAAUAAACAUGAAUAAUAGAGCCAACAUAUUAGGAAGGCUGAGUUUAUUGUCCUAAGUGAUAACAUAUAUUGUGAGACUUUCUGAAUUGCCGAGUCUUGGUUCUUCAUCUGUAAAAUGGGGAUAAUCAUCUCUUCCUACAUUAAGGGACUUGGAGAGACAAAUGAGGGAGAUUGGGUGAAAGUGGUUGGGAAGCUCUGAAAUGAUUUGUAAUUUCUGCACCCAUCUUGCCUUUACACAUGGUCCGGGCUGAGGUAUGGGAGCUGCUUUCCCGAGUUUGGUUAUGUGGGUGCCAGUGGGACUGGGGGCACCCCUGGGGGACAUCACUCUGGCUUGGGUGAUAUCUCCACUUUUGGAUGGAAGCCAUCACUGCUCUGUCCUCUUAGCCUGGCAAAACUGAAAUAGCAGUUAUCCUGUUCUUGAUAGGGACACGGUGUUCUCACAACAGUGGCAGGGCCUUCCUAGGCAGAGGCCACUGCAAGGAGUACACAACCCCAGCGAAGGUUUUACUGUAUAGCACUGGGAACUAUAUUCAGUGUCUUGUAAUAACCUAUAAUGGAAAAGAAUAUGAAAAAAAUGAAACUUAAUCACCCUGCUGUACACCUGAAACUAACACUAUAUUGUAAAUCAACUUUGGUUUAAAAAAUUUUUUUAAAUGGAGUUCUCAUUGUGGCUCAGUGGAUUAAGAACCCAACUAGUAUCCAUGAGGAUGCAGGUUCGAUCCCUGGCCUUGCUCAGUGGCUUAAGGAUCCAUCAUUGCUGCAAGUUGCAGCAUAGGUCGCGGCUGUGGCUUGGAUCCUGUGUGGCUGUGGUGUAGGCCAGAUGCUGCAGGUCCAAUUUGACCCCUAGCCUGGGAACUUCCAUAUGCUGUAGUUGUGGCCCUAAAAAUGAAAAAAUAGAUCUGUCUUAUUGUAUUCUAAUAUAUGUUACUCUUAGAUAUUCUAUGUCUAAAUAAAAGAUUCAGUGGCUUGAGAUUCACAUUAAAUAACAUCAUAUUAAAGGCAUAGGCAAGUGUCUGGCAAAUAAACUGUUUUAACAUUUUUACAGCUCAGUAUUUCCUAAAUUUAUUCCACAGAAUACAACUUCUAGGAAAUGGUGACCAUGUAAGAAUAUAUACCUCUAGGAGUUCCCGUUGUGGCGC